UCUUCAGCACAGGGAAUUUGAAUCCAGCUUGUUCUAUUACCUACAAUUAGGUCAACAUCCACAAGGAUCAAAAUGGUUCUGGAGAAGUAGGUUUGCUUGAGAAGUCGGACAAGGCUUCAGUGUCACCCACACGGCAGAGGCAUGGGGUAACCCUGCCCAUGCAGAAGGUCCUUCCUCAUUUUAUGCAUGGAAAACAGCACUUGCUAACAGGGCUCCGGAGCCUGCAGACCACUAAGUGCCUCCCUUAGUGCUCACAGCAGCACGAUCUCCUGUCAAACUCCUAUGCCAUCUGGAGAACUUGCGGUAUGUACGUGGUAUCCCUUCCCUGAGAGUUAUCUGGCUUGGCUGUCAGGACCCGGGAAGAUUUUGUAGUAAUUUAUGGGCUUUAUAUUUAACAUUAAAUGUGGAUGGUCUCUUUGACAUUAUUUAAAUCUUUUAUUUAUCACUUUGCCGCAUGCACAAAAUGUGUUUUCUCUCGUCUCCUGCUUUCUGGGGUGCAAUACAGAAUAUUUCCCCAAAAGCUAUGCAGCCCUGAGCCACCUGCCAGAUUCCCAUGUAUUAUAAUAUUUUCGGCCAGCUGCUGUGGUAGCUGUUCAUGCCAAGGGCAAGAAUUCCCCUGCUCCGGUUUUAGCUUUUGUGCAGUCCGGAGCCUGCUUUCAGCCAAACUGUGAGCAUAAAGCCUGAGCCGGAGAGAGCUGCAAGAAAAGAUCAAACCUCUCAGAGCCCGUAACCAGCUGGUGGAGCCCAGGUAUCAUGUCCUGCUCCAGGUGUCGGUGCGAUGCACCCCCUUCCUGCCCUCUCCAGCGCUCUGCCCCUGUCCUUUACUGGGGGCCUUCUAGGCAGAAUAGCAAAUACGUAGGCGUAGUGAUCCCAGAGGAGAUUUUUGGCAGCAAGUACUGACGUGGCUGAUUGCUGGGAGCUGGUGUGGUACCUCUGGCUGGGCCACUCUUAACCCCAGCUUUGCCAAGGACACGCCACUGAAGUGGUUUUGAGGCUUGGAAGCAACGAAGUAAUUGAUGUAUCAGAAAUUGCCAGACUGGCUCACAGUCAUCCGACAGUUCCCCUGGGAUAGUGACACCUUCUCCUCUGUUCUGAUAGUUAUGCUACAACAAAAGAAGGGAAGAUAGGUAUGAGGCUCUGGAAGUGAAAGCAAGCAAUGAUGAAGAUGAUGGUCCACCUAGGUUGGAGGUGUCACCAAGGUGAAGUGAGCAGCUGAAGUCACUUGGCUUCUUCAGCUUGGAGAAGAGGUCUGAGGGGUGUCCUCAUCACAGUCUACAACUUCCCCAAGGUGGGAGGCACUGAUCUCUUCUUUCUGGUGACCAGCAAUAGGACAAGAGGAAAUGGAAUGAAGGUGGGUCAGGGGAAGUUCAGACUGGACAUUAGGAAAAGGCUCUUUGCAGAGAGAGUGGUCAGUCACUGGAACAGGCUCCUCAGG